UGUAAAAAUAAAGACAAAGGCUUAUAGUUCCACAUAAAAUUUCAGUGUAGGCAGUAAUGAUGUUUCACUAAGAAAUGAAAAUAUUAUUUGGAAAUCCAAUUCAGCACAGUGCACAUUUUUUUUGAUUUAGUUCUGAUUAGUUGCCCUUACUUAUCCUUAUCCUGGGUCUGUUUUUGCUAUCGUGCAAGUAUGAUCAGAUAGAGGUGGCCUUUCAAACUCGUGCACAGUGAGUGUGACAUUACACAAUCAUCUGCCAGCGUGCAUCGGUGAUAGCGACGACCGCGUGCUCGUGCAUCGGCGAAGGAAGUCAAAGGUGGGUCUAGUUCACCCUGGAUGAAGAAAAGAUUCGAGUUUGGUUUUGAUUCAUCGGUACUCACCCGAAGAGACGGAGGACCCCGACAGACUGGAGUUGCUUGACGCUGCCAUCGCGUCUAAUUCACCGAAUCCACCCGCUUACUGGCGUCUGUUAGGGCUUGACGGCUCUUCCAUCUCAGUCUCCGCUCUCCUGACCCGU